CGGGUCUACACAUGCAAGUCGAGCGGUAGAGAGAAGCUUGCUUCUCUUGAGAGCGGCGGACGGGUGAGUAAUGCCUAGGAAUCUGCCUGGUAGUGGGGGAUAACGUUCGGAAACGGACGCUAAUACCGCAUACGUCCUACGGGAGAAAGCAGGGGACCUUCGGGCCUUGCGCUAUCAGAUGAGCCUAGGUCGGAUUAGCUAGUUGGUGGGGUAAUGGCUCACCAAGGCGACGAUCCGUAACUGGUCUGAGAGGAUGAUCAGUCACACUGGAACUGAGACACGGUCCAGACUCCUACGGGAGGCAGCAGUGGGGAAUAUUGGACAAUGGGCGAAAGCCUGAUCCAGCCAUGCCGCGUGUGUGAAGAAGGUCUUCGGAUUGUAAAGCACUUUAAGUUGGGAGGAAGGGUUGUAGAUUAAUACUCUGCAAUUUUGACGUUACCGACAGAAUAAGCACCGGCUAACUCUGUGCCAGCAGCCGCGGUAAUACAGAGGGUGCAAGCGUUAAUCGGAAUUACUGGGCGUAAAGCGCGCGUAGGUGGUUUGUUAAGUUGGAUGUGAAAUCCCCGGGCUCAACCUGGGAACUGCAUUCAAAACUGACUGACUAGAGUAUGGUAGAGGGUGGUGGAAUUUCCUGUGUAGCGGUGAAAUGCGUAGAUAUAGGAAGGAACACCAGUGGCGAAGGCGACCACCUGGACUAAUACUGACACUGAGGUGCGAAAGCGUGGGGAGCAAACAGGAUUAGAUACCCUGGUAGUCCACGCCGUAAACGAUGUCAACUAGCCGUUGGAAGCCUUGAGCUUUUAGUGGCGCAGCUAACGCAUUAAGUUGACCGCCUGGGGAGUACGGCCGCAAGGUUAAAACUCAAAUGAAUUGACGGGGGCCCGCACAAGCGGUGGAGCAUGUGGUUUAAUUUCGAAGCAACGCGAUAACCUUACCAUGGCCUUGACAUCCAAUGAAACUUUCUAGAGAUAGAUUGGUGGCCUUCGGGUAACAUUUGAGACAGGUGCUGCAUGGCUGUCGUCAGCUUCGUGUGAUGAGAUUGUUGGGUUAAUCCCCGUACCGAACUCACCUUUGUCUUAAUUUACCAACACGUAAUGUUGGGGCAUUUCUUAGGAAAUGGCCGGGUGACAAACCGGAAGAAGGGUGGGAUAGUACCGUCAGUCAUCAUGGCCUUUACGGCUUGGCUUACACAGUGUCUACAUGGGUCGGUUACGGAAGGUUGUCAAUGCUCAGAGGGUGUGAGAUCUUAUACUCCACUGUAUUACUU
rnacentral:rRNA from 1 species